CAAGUAUUAAAGGUCCUGCCUGCCCAGUGAACCAUUUUUAACGGCCGCGGUAUCCUAACCGUGCAAAGGUAGCGUAAUCACUUGUCUUUUAAAUAAAGACUUGUAUGAACGGCUAAAUGAGGAUAACCCUGUCUCUUAUAACUAAUCAGUGAAACUGAUCUUCAAGUACAAAAACUUGGAUGAGCCCAUAAGACGAGAAGACCCUGUGGAGCUUAAAAUAAAGCUAUUACAAGCAAUAGCAACAUUUUAAGUUGGGGCGACUUCGGAAUAAAAAACAACUUCCGAGCACGGAGUCAACUACUUCAACAAAGACCAACAAGUCAAAAUCUGACCCAGUCUUACUGAACAACGAACCAAGUUACCCCAGGGAUAACAGCGCUAUCUUCUUCAAGAGUCCCUAUCGACAAGAAGGUUUACGACCUCGAUGUUGGAUCAGGACACCCAAAUGGUGCAGCAGCUAUUAAAGGUUCGUUUGUUCAACGAUUAACAGUCCUACGUGAUCUGAGUUCAGACCGGAGCAAUCCAGGUCGGUU
rnacentral:rRNA from 1 species